UGUUGCGGGGUCGGGGUGGGGAACAGUGUCAGGAGGCCAAAGGGGAGGGACGACUCUGGUCUGUAAGGCUGCACCCUUCAUAGCUCUUGGCCCCCGCACCUAAGCCUCCAGCCUUUUCCCUUGUGAAAUACAAUCCUGGAGCUCCUGGGAGGCUUGGCGCUGCCCAAGACCUGAGGGCAGGGCAAGGAAGGCUUUCCAGCAGUGGAGUAAAAAGGAAGCGGUGCUAAUGAAGGCCCUAACGAGUCGCAGGAGAAGCUUCCAGCUCCAGCCUUUGGAUAGCACUGACAGGGAAGGCAAGGCAACAAGUCUAGUUCGUGGGGUGCUGGAGCAACGUGCAAUGCAGAGAGACAAGUCAUGGCUCCUCUGGUGCCCAGGAGGCCCUGGCUGGGCAACCAUCCUCUGCCCCCAGAACAGCGUCUCAUGAAAGGAUAAAAGAACUCCUGGGUUCCCAACUGUGAAGGAAGCAGCAUGCCUGUAUGUCCCUCACUGGACCACUAUGGAUGGGUCCCGACCCCUCUGGGUCUCAGUGACCUCAGCUGCAAACCCAGUCUCUAGCUCUGACCCUCGAUUUUCUCCCCACCUCUUCCCGAACCCCCUUCCCAGUCCCUGUUCCCUCUUCCUUCAGUGAUCUCCCUCUAACACUGCGCACACCACCUCCACCAAGAAAGCUUCCCAACCUUCCCAUGUACCUUGAAUUUCUCCCCGCUCUCCACAAACAGCUAUGGCAUAUUUUUUUUAUAGCAACAGCAGGAUUAAUUGUUAACACUUCUCCCCGAUCCAGGGUGGGGGAACCCCUGGAAAGGGUGAAUUAAAGUUUAUGCGAUUCAUUGA